GGCGGACGGGUGAGUAAUGCGUAGGAAUUUACCUCAAAGUGGGGGAUAGCCCGGAGAAAUCCGGAUUAAUACCGCAUGUGCACUACGGUGGAAAGCGGGCCUCUUCUUGAAAGCUCGCGCUUUGAGAUAAGCCUACGUCGGAUUAGCUUGUUGGUAGGGUAAAAGCCUACCAAGGCGACGAUCCGUAGCUGGUUUGAGAGGAUGAUCAGCCACACUGGGACUGAGACACGGCCCAG
rnacentral:rRNA from 1 species